ACUCCUACGGGAGGCAGCAGUGGGGAAUCUUGCGCAAUGGACGAAAGUCUGACGCAGCGACGCCGCGUGAGUGAUGAAGGCCCUCGGGUUGUAAAGCUCUGUGGAGGGGGACGAAUAAGCAUUGGUUAAUAUCCAGUGUGAUGACGGUACCCUUUUAGCAAGCACCGGCUAACUCUGUGCCAGCAGCCGCGGUAAGACAGAGGGUGCAAACGUUGUUCGGAAUUACUGGGCGUAAAGCGCGUGUAGGCUGCUUCGCAAGUCGGAUGUGAAAGCCCUGGGCUCAACCCAGGAAGUGCAUUCGAAACUGCAGAGCUGGAGUCCUGGAGAGGAAGGCGGAAUUCUCGGUGUAGAGGUGAAAUUCGUAGAUAUCGAGAGGAACACCGGUGGCGAAGGCGGCCUUCUGGACAGUGACUGACGCUGAGACGCGAAAGCGUGGGGAGCAAACAGGAUUAGAUACCCUGGUAGUCCACGCCGUAAACGAUGGGUG
rnacentral:rRNA from 1 species